CACAACACCCCCUGGAGCCAGAGGUCUUCCUGGAGGACCUCCAUCUCUGCUUGGAUGUGUAUGGCAUGGUGAGCAGGGUGCUGCUCCAAUGCUGGACCCCCAUGGUGAAAUUCAGAGAAAUUUUCUCUGACAUCAGGGAGAUCAUCCCCAGACUUCAGCUCCAGUUGACUCGCUGAGGGAGCCUUUCUGACUUUACUCUACACGAGCCUUAAAUUGAUACUCGCAGCGAGUCUGCUGAUGAAAAUGAGGAAGAGCUGCAGCUCUUAAAGGGCUGAUGGAAAGGAGAAAAGGUGAAGGAAAGAGUCUGUGACUUCUACCGCAGAGUAUGGAAGAGAUUAAAGUCCUGCACUACCCUUGGCUGUGUGAGCUCUAACUAAAUCACUAGACUCAAAUGAGACUGGACCACCACCACAAUGACCAAUUCAGUUCACUCUGGUCUGAGCUCCAGU